UGUUUAUACAACAAAUACAACCUGAAGAAGCAGAAGUGAUGUAUUUCUGCAAAUGAGGAUUUUGUAUUUCAGAAUAUUAUAGGCUUCAAAAUAAGGGAAGGCUUUCAUCUUUCCAAUUGCUUUGAGGACUGAAUUUUACCAAAAGCCAUUAACUGCAGAGCAGGCAGAGCCCGCUUGGCAGGAGGGAUUAUUUACCCUGGCUGUCUUCUCCAAAGGAGGUCUGAACCUGCCAAGGAACUGCAUGCAAACCCCAUGGAUCUGUGCAGGUGUCACCAGCUGAUGGGAUAAGCCCCCCCAACCAGAUCAAGAAGACACUGGAGCUUGCAGUGCACAGAUUUUCACAUGUAUGGAAUUGAGAACAAGGAUAUAAAAUGUAGGUAAAAUGAUGAAAAAGUUGA